ACGCUGGCGGCGUGCUUAACACAUGCAAGUCGAACGAGAGCGUAGAGAAAGCUUGCUUUUUCUACAAUCUAGUGGCAAACGGGUGAGUAACGCGUAAACAACCUGCCCUACGGAUGGGGACAACAGCUGGAAACGGCUGCUAAUACCGAAUACGUUCCGAAAGUCGCAUGACUGUCGGAAGAAAGGAUGGCCUCUAUUUAUAAGCUAUCGCCGGAGGAGGGGUUUGCGUCUGAUUAGCUAGUUGGAGGGGUAACGGCCCACCAAGGCGACGAUCAGUAGCCGGUCUGAGAGGAUGAACGGCCACAUUGGAACUGAGACACGGUCCAGACUCCUACGGGAGGCAGCAGUGGGGAAUCUUCCGCAAUGGGCGAAAGCCUGACGGAGCAACGCCGCGUGAGUGAAGACGGCCUUCGGGUUGUAAAGCUCUGUUAUACGGGACGAAUAGUCUUGUGGUUAAUACCCAUGAGAAGUGACGGUACCGUAAGAGAAGGCCACGGCUAACUACGUGCCAGCAGCCGCGGUAAUACGUAGGUGGCAAGCGUUGUCCGGAAUUAUUGGGCGUAAAGGGCGCGCAGGCGGCUUCUUAAGUCUGUCUUAAAAGUGCGGGGCUUAACCCCGUGAUGGGAUGGAAACUGGGAAGCUCAGAGUAUCGGAGAGGAAAGCGGAAUUCCUAGUGUAGCGGUGAAAUGCGUAGAUAUUAGGAGGAACACCAGUGGCGAAAGCGGCUUUCUGGACGAAAACUGACGCUGAGGCGCGAAAGCCAGGGGAGCGAACGGGAUUAGAUACCCCGGUAGUCCUGGCCGUAAACGAUGGGUACUAGGUGUAGGAGGUAUCGACCCCUUCUGUGCCGGAGUUAACGCAAUAAGUACCCCGCCUGGGGAGUACGGCCGCAAGGUUGAAACUCAAAGGGAAUUGACGGGGGCCCGCACAAGCGG
rnacentral:rRNA from 1 species